CAGCAGCCGCGGUAAUACCGGCGGCCCGAGUGGCGGUCACUAUUAUUGGGCUUAAAGCGUCCGUAGCCGGGGUGGGAAGUCCUCCGGGAAAUCUGGCCGCUUAACGGUCAGAAUGCCGGAGGAUACUCCCAGCCUAGGGAGCGGGAGAGGCCGAGGGGAUUCCCGGAGUAGGGGGGAAAUCCUAUAAUCCCGGGAGGACGACCUGUGGCGAAGGCGCUCGGCUGGAACGCGUCCGACGGGGAGGGACGAAGGCCAGGGGAGCAAACCGGAUUAGAUACCCGGGUAGUCCUGGCUGUAAACGAUGCGGACUUUGUGUCGGACAAGCUAUGAGCUUGUCCGGUGCCGGAGGGAAACCGUUAAGUCCGCCGCCUGGGGAGUACGGCCGCAAGGCUGAAACUUAAAGGAAUUGGCGGG
rnacentral:rRNA from 1 species